rnacentral:lncRNA from 1 species
AUGUGGCACAUGGGGACGUGGUCAGCGGGCACGUCCCAUGGGAUGAGGUUGGGCUUGGGGAUCUUGGAGGUCUUCUCCAACCUCAGUGAUUCUACGAUUCUCUGUUUCUGUGAUGCUAUGCCCAUGUCACAGGCACCCCAUGCGACAGCCCCGUGGGUGCUUGCCUGGUGCGUGCGGACAGACAGAGCUGCUGGCCUCGGAACAGCUGCGUCCCCGAGUCACUUAUGGAACCAAGCCAAGAGAAGCUCAGAGACAAGCAUGAUAUCCCCAAAGCCUUUUUCUGCCUCCAAGUGACAAACUGAAAAGGCUGUUCCCAUUUGCAGAGAAGACCUUCGCUUUAGCAUCACGACCAAGUCUUCACGGAAGUCUACUUCAGCUCAAUACAUUGAUCACCAGAUUCAAUUCCUGAUUAUCUGAAGAUGUGCGACUGCUUUGUCUGUACGCUGACCCGAGCCACAAACCUGCCACUUAAAAAAGAUUUGUUAAUGAGAUUUCAGUGCCACUGGACCCUUAGCAUUUCUUUUUGCCUAUAAACUCAUUUUAUUGUUCUACCGUCGUGAGGAAAACGGCUGCAUUUGUCUUGGAAUGAAAAAUACUACCCUUUGAAUAAAUAGCUGAUGAAUAAAAAACUUUAAAAAUUA